UACGAAGGGUGCAAGCGUUAAUCGGAAUUACUGGGCGUAAAGGGUGCGUAGGCGGUUCGUUAAGUCUGUCGUGAAAUCCCCGGGCUCAACCUGAGAAUGGCGAUGGAUACUGGCGAGCUAGAGUGUGUCAGAGGAUGGUGGAAUUCCCGGUGUAGCGGUGAAAUGCGUAGAGAUCGGGAGGAACACCAGUGGCGAAGGCGGCCUUCUGGACCAAUACUGACGCUCAUGCACGAAAGCGUGGGGAGCAAACAGG
rnacentral:rRNA from 1 species